rnacentral:rRNA from 1 species
AUGGGGGGCCCAUCCUCCAAGGCUAAAUACUCCUGACUGACCGAUAGUGAACCAGUACCGUGAGGGAAAGGCGAAAAGAACCCCGGCGAGGGGAGUGAAAAAGAACCUGAAACCGUGUACGUACAAGCAGUGGGAGCACGCUUAGGCGUGUGACUGCGUACCUUUUGUAUAAUGGGUCAGCGACUUAUAUUCUGUAGCAAGGUUAACCGAAUAGGGGAGCCGAAGGGAAACCGAGUCUUAACUGGGCGUUAAGUUGCAGGGUAUAGACCCGAAACCCGGUGAUCUAGCCAUGGGCAGGUUGAAGGUUGGGUAACACUAACUGGAGGACCGAACCGACUAAUGUUGAAAAAUUAGCGGAUGACUUGUGGCUGGGGGUGAAAGGCCAAUCAAACCGGGAGAUAGCUGGUUCUCCCCGAAAGCUAUUUAGGUAGCGCCUCGUGAAUUCAUCUCCGGGGGUAGAGCACUGUUUCGGCAAGGGGGUCAUCCCGACUUACCAACCCGAUGCAAACUGCGAAUACCGGAGAAUGUUAUCACGGGAGACACACGGCGGGUGCUAACGUCCGUCGUGAAGAGGGAAACAACCCAGACCGCCAGCUAAGGUCCCAAAGUCAUGGUUAAGUGGGAAACGAUGUGGGAAGGCCCAGACAGCCAGGAUGUUGGCUUAGAAGCAGCCAUCAUUUAAAGAAAGCGUAAUAGCUCACUGGUCGAGUCGGCCUGCGCGGAAGAUGUAACGGGGCUAAACCAUGCACCGAAGCUGCGGCAGCGACGCUUAUGCGUUGUUGGGUAGGGGAGCGUUCUGUAAGCCUGCGAAGGUGUGCUGUGAGGCAUGCUGGAGGUAUCAGAAGUGCGAAUGCUGACAUAAGUAACGAUAAAGCGGGUGAAAAGCCCGCUCGCCGGAAGACCAAGGGUUCCUGUCCAACGUUAAUCGGGGCAGGGUGAGUCGACCCCUAAGGCGAGGCCGAAAGGCGUAGUCGAUGGGAAACAGGUUAAUAUUCCUGUACUUGGUGUUACUGCGAAGGGGGGACGGAGAAGGCUAUGUUGGCCGGGCGACGGUUGUCCCGGUUUAAGCGUGUAGGCUGGUUUUCCAGGCAAAUCCGGAAAAUCAAGGCUGAGGCGUGAUGACGAGGCACUACGGUGCUGAAGCAACAAAUGCCCUGCUUCCAGGAAAAGCCUCUAAGCAUCAGGUAACAUCAAAUCGUACCCCAAACCGACACAGGUGGUCAGGUAGAGAAUACCAAGGCGCUUGAGAGAACUCGGGUGAAGGAACUAGGCAAAAUGGUGCCGUAACUUCGGGAGAAGGCACGCUGAUAUGUAGGUGAAGUCCCUUGCGGAUGGAGCUGAAAUCAGUCGAAGAUACCAGCUGGCUGCAACUGUUUAUUAAAAACACAGCACUGUGCAAACACGAAAGUGGACGUAUACGGUGUGACGCCUGCCCGGUGCCGGAAGGUUAAUUGAUGGGGUCAGCGCAAGCGAAGCUCUUGAUCGAAGCCCCGGUAAACGGCGGCCGUAACUAUAACGGUCCUAAGGUAGCGAAAUUCCUUGUCGGGUAAGUUCCGACCUGCACGAAUGGCGUAAUGAUGGCCAGGCUGUCUCCACCCGAGACUCAGUGAAAUUGAACUCGCUGUGAAGAUGCAGUGUACCCGCGGCAAGACGGAAAGACCCCGUGAACCUUUACUAUAGCUUGACACUGAACAUUGAGCCUUGAUGUGUAGGAUAGGUGGGAGGCUUUGAAGUG